UCUUCUACAACUUCUUUCGUUCAAGCACGCUUCCUUAUAGACAGAAUGGAUAUUUCAGGUUGCUUCUACUGCACUGUUUCCCUUUUUGAACUCAUUAAACUUUAUGUGCCUAAAAUACUCCUUCCAUACAACCAUCUUUGUGGCGUUAAUAUCAGAUCAUUUUCUAAAAAGAAAUUAUAUUAAGUUAAAGAUUUCCAAAUUCAUAUGAGUAUCAAUCAAUACCAUUUGACUUCUCAGAAAUCGAAAAAAAACUGAAUUU